UAUUUUAUGUAUGGCCCAAGACAAUUCUUCUUCUUCCAGUGUGGCCUGGGGAAGCCAAAAGAUUGGACACCUAUGGCCUAGAUGGACCUGAAGCCAGGUAAGUACAUAGCAGGUAAGCUGAGUUCCAAAUGGGAGGCAGUGGGAAUGAGUUUUUCAUUCACUUAUUAUUAUUGAUAUUGAUAUUAUUAUUGAAUUUAAAUCCUGUACUCCCAGUUACUACCAGCGUGAUUUGAGGCAAUUUACUUAAACCUGCCCCAGUUAAUUCAUCUCUAAAAUUAAAAUAAUAAUAUGUAUCCUGCAGGUGAUGGUAAGAAUUAGAAAUAAGGCAUCAACAUGCCUCACACAUUGCUUCUCUAACUGGAUUCACAAAUGUACUCUCGGGAGUCCAAAAGUUCUCCACAAAAAUUUUAUCUUAAGUUCUUAACCUUUUUUUACAUGUACUUUAUUUUUAGGAGCAGUUUUAGGUUCAUAUCAUAUUUAAGAAGAUAGCACAAAGAACUCUCUCUACUGGUAGUUUAUAAUCUACCCCCAUUGCUCCAUCUGGAUAUCAUUCCCCAUCAUUGACUUCUUGCACCAAAGUGGUACGUUUGUUUCAAUUGAUGAGGCACAAUUGACACAUCAUUGUCUCCCAGAGUUCAUAGUUUACAUUAGAUUUACUCCUGAUGUUGUAGAGUUAUAAUUUGCCAUGGGUUUUUAACAAAUACAGCAUGACAUGUAUCCACCAUUAUUGUAUCAUACCGAAUAUAGGCAUAUCUCAGAGAUAUCGUGGCUUGAUUCCAGGCCAUCACAAUAAAGCAAAUACUGCAAUAAUGCGAGUCAUAUGAAUUUUUCAUUCCCCAGUGCAUAUAAAAGUUACAUUAACACCAUAGUAUAUUAAGUGUGCAAUGGCAUUAUGUCUAAAAAACAGUAUACACACCUUAACAAAUAUUUAUUUGCUAAUGAUUAAAAUGCUAAUGAUUACCUAAGCCGUCAGCUAACUGUAAACAUGUUACUGGUGGAUGGUCUUGCCUCAGUGUUGAUGGCUGCUGACUGAUCAGGGUGGUUGUUGCUGAAGAUGGUAGGUGGCUGUGGAAAUUUCUUAAAAUAAAACAAAAAUGAAGUCUGCCACAUCGAUUGACUUUUCCUUUCAGGAAAGAGUUUUCUGGAGCAGGCAAUACUGUUUGAUGGCAUCUUACCCACAGUAGAAUUUCUUUCAAAAUUGGAGUCAAGCCUCCCAAACCCUGCCACUGUUUCAUCAGCUAAGUUUACGUAAUGUUCUAAGUCCUUUGCUGUCAUUUCAACAGUGUUCACAGUAUCUUCACCAGGAGUAGAUUCCAUCUCAAGAAAGCACCUUUUUUAUUCAUAAGAAACAACUCCUCAUCUGUUCAAGUUUUAUUAUGAAAUAGCAGCAAUUCAGUCCCAUCUUCAGGUUCCACUUCCAAUUCUAGUUCUCUAUUUCUAUUACAUUUGCAAUUGCUUCCUCCACUGAAGUCUUGAAUCCUUCAAAAUCAUUCAUAAGGAUUAGAAUCUACUUCUUACAAACUUCUGUUUUCAAUUUUCUUAUCU